rnacentral:sRNA from 1 species
CCAGACAACAUAAACACGAUUUAGAUCUAGAUGCACGCAAGUACAAUAUAAACUCUGUAAACUUUUAAAACAAAGUGAAACGCUUAGCACUAAAUCUAGCACUACUUUUAGCUGCGGAUAAAGACAUGUUUGGAAAAUGCAUCAUUGUCCUGGCAUUGGCGGUGACCCAGUCUUUCUCUGAAGUCGAGGAGCACUGGCGCUACGAAAAGAUUAGGGCUGCUUACUUGGCCGUAUCCAUGCAACAAAGCGAGGAACAGUUUUACGAUUACCGUUUAGUAACAUUUAAAACUGAGCAUCUUGUAGAGUUUCGACAUGAUAACAUCACACAAUUUGUUCAAAUGGAACUUGACGAAGAAAACAACCAACUGCUGAUUGG